UACGAGGGGGGCAAGCGUUGUUCGGAAUUAUUGGGCGUAAAGGGCGCGUAGGCGGUGCGGUAAGUCACCUGUGAAAACUUGGGGCUUAACUCCAAGCGUGCGGGCGAUACGGGCAGACUUGAGUACUACAGGGGAGACUGGAAUUCCUGGUGUAGCGGUGAAAUGCGCAGAUAUCAGGAGGAACACCGGUGGCGAAGGCGGGUCUCUGGGUAGUAACUGACGCUGAGACGCGAAAGCGUGGGGAGCGAACAGG
rnacentral:rRNA from 1 species